GACGGGAGCUUGCUCCCUUAGGUCAGCGGCGGACGGGUGAGUAACACGUGGGUAACCUGCCUGUAAGACUGGGAUAACUCCGGGAAACCGGGGCUAAUACCGGAUGCUUGAUUGAACCGCAUGGUUCAAUCAUAAAAGGUGGCUUUUAGCUACCACUUGCAGAUGGACCCGCGGCGCAUUAGCUAGUUGGUGAGGUAACGGCUCACCAAGGCGACGAUGCGUAGCCGACCUGAGAGGGUGAUCGGCCACACUGGGACUGAGACACGGCCCAGACUCCUACGGGAGGCAGCAGUAGGGAAUCUUCCGCAAUGGACGAAAGUCUGACGGAGCAACGCCGCGUGAGUGAUGAAGGUUUUCGGAUCGUAAAACUCUGUUGUUAGGGAAGAACAAGUACCGUUCGAAUAGGGCGGUACCUUGACGGUACCUAACCAGAAAGCCACGGCUAACUACGUGCCAGCAGCCGCGGUAAUCCGUAGGUGGCAAGCGUUGUCCGGAAUUAUUGGGCGUAAAGCGCGCGCAGGCGGUUUCUUAAGUCUGAUGUGAAAGCCCCCGGCUCAACCGGGGAGGGUCAUUGGAAACUGGGGAACUUGAGUGCAGAAGAGGAGAGUGGAAUUCCACGUGUAGCGGUGAAAUGCGUAGAGAUGUGGAGGAACACCAGUGGCGAAGGCGACUCUCUGGUCUGUAACUGACGCUGAGGCGCGAA
rnacentral:rRNA from 1 species